AGAGUUUGAUCCUGGCUCAGGAUGAACGCUGGCGGCGUGCUUAACACAUGCAAGUCGAACGAAGCACUUUGAAGUUUUCGGACAGAGAAGUGACUGAGUGGCGGACGGGUGAGUAACGCGUGGGUAACCUGCCUCAUACAGGGGGAUAACAGUUAGAAAUGACUGCUAAUACCGCAUAAGACCACAUUGCCGCAUGGCAGAGUGAUAAAAACUCCGGUGGUAUGAGAUGGACCCGCGUCUGAUUAGCUAGUUGGUGAGGUAACGGCUCACCAAGGCGACGAUCAGUAGCCGACCUGAGAGGGUGACCGGCCACAUUGGGACUGAGACACGGCCCAAACUCCUACGGGAGGCAGCAGUGGGGAAUAUUGCACAAUGGGCGAAAGCCUGAUGCAGCGACGCCGCGUGAAGGAUGAAGUAUUUCGGUAUGUAAACUUCUAUCAGCAGGGAAGAAAAUGACGGUACCUGCAGAAAAAGCAACGGCUAACUACGUGCCAGCAGCCGCGGUAAUACGUAGGUUGCAAGCGUUGUCCGGAUUUACUGGGUGUAAAGGGCGUGUAGGCGGAGAUGCAAGUUGGGAGUGAAAUCCCGGGGCUCAACCCCGGAACUGCUUUCAAAACUGCAUCCCUUGAGUAUCGGAGAGGCAAGCGGAAUUCCUAGUGUAGCGGUGAAAUGCGUAGAUAUUAGGAGGAACACCAGUGGCGAAGGCGGCUUGCUGGACGACAACUGACGCUGAGGCGCGAAAGCGUGGGGAGCAAACAGGAUUAGAUACCCUGGUAGUCCACGCUGUAAACGAUGAAUACUAGGUGUGGGAGGACUGACCCCUUCCGUGCCGCAGUUAACACAAUAAGUAUUCCACCUGGGGAGUACGACCGCAAGGUUGAAACUCAAAGGAAUUGACGGGGGCCCGCACAAGCGGUGGAUUAUGUGGUUUAAUUCGACGCAACGCGAAGAACCUUACCAGGAUUUGACAUCCUACUAACGAAGUAGAGAUACAUUAGGUGCCCUUCGGGGAAAGUAGAGACAGGUGGUGCAUGGUUGUCGUCAGCUCGUGUCGUGAGAUGUUAGGUUAAGUCCCGCAACGAGCGCAACCCCUAUUGUUAGUUGCUACGCAAGAGCACUCUAGCGAGACUGCCGUUGACAAAACGGAGGAAGGCGGGGACGACGUCAAAUCAUCAUGCCCCUUAUGUCCUGGGCUACACACGUAAUACAAUGGUGGCCAACAAAGGGAAGCAAAGCCGCGAGGUGGAGCAAAUCCCCAAAAGCCAUCUCAGUUCGGAUUGCAGGCUGCAACUCGCCUGCAUGAAGCUGGAAUCGCUAGUAAUCGUGGAUCAGCAAGCCACGGUGAAUACGUUCCCGGGUCUUGCACUCACCGCCCGUCA
rnacentral:rRNA from 1 species